rnacentral:rRNA from 1 species
AUGGCAUCCUCCAGUAGCAAUGGAUGCCGCAUUUGUAGCUCUUCCAGCCAUAAGAGCAAACAAUGCCCCCGAACACAGUGCGGCACCUGUGGCGGUAAGGGCCACGUUUCGAGCAUUUGCACCUCCCACACCUCCGGUGGCCCUCUGUGCUUCAGAUGUGGCUUGCCGGGGCAUAGAAGUUCCAAUUGCUGGGGAUAUUCCACCGGCCACUGCGCCAACUGCAACGGUGUUCGUCACAGUGAAGACGAGUGUGCAAGUCUAGUCCUUAACCCCAUUUGCCCCAACUGUUUGAAGAACCACUAUGCAAGGGACUGCCCUGAUGGUAAGUUGAGUGGACACUCUCUCGGUACAUGUCAUUUCUGUGCCGUUCCAGGUCACAAUGCCCCUGAUUGCCCACAACGUCGUCGUGAGUGA